CACAGAGGGGGCAAGCGUUAUUCGGAAUUAUUGGGCGUAAAGGGCGCGUAGGCGGCUUUUCAAGUGACGGGUGAAAUCCCUCGGCUUAACCGAGGAACUGCCUGUCAGACUGGAAGGCUUGAGACCGGGAGAGGUGAGUGGAAUUCCCAGUGUAGCGGUGAAAUGCGUAGAUAUUGGGAGGAACACCAGUGGCGAAGGCGGCUCACUGGACCGGAACUGACGCUGAGGCGCGAAAGCGUGGGGAGCAAACAGG
rnacentral:rRNA from 1 species